GUGAAUCAUCGAAUCUUUGAACGCAACUUGCGCCCCCCGGGGCAUGUCUGCCUGAGUGUCGCAUAAAACGUAUUGCUGGUUGAUGGCGAUUGCUGAUUGGCGAUUGCUGAUUGGCUGAUUGCUGAUUGGCGAUUGCUGAUUGGCGAUUGCUGAUCGAUCAGUGAUGAAUUGGGCAGGUCGCACUGCCUGAAAUGGAGCAAGAGGAGGGGCGCGGUGUUCCUGCUGCGUGCUAUAAGCCAGCGCAAUAGUCAAAAGCUAUUGCUGAGGUUUGGUCGCACGGGACUCGCAUCCAUCCAACUCAUUUCACUCCAAUGACCUCAGGUCAGGCAAGACUACCCGCUGAACUUAAGCAUAUCAAUAACGCGGAGG
rnacentral:rRNA from 1 species